CGUGUGUGUGUGUGUGUCAAUUCAAUGUAAUUCAGUGUGUUAGAUAAAGAGACGCUUACAAUGGAUCUUUGGUAAGUUCCUUUUGGUAGGCAAUCGGCGACUGUAUCGCCUUGAGAAAGUCACGUUGGGUUUGCAGGAUGGCAGUGAUCG